rnacentral:rRNA from 1 species
GGUGUGGGUAGGGGAGAAAUUCCAAUCGAACCCGGAGAUAGCUGGUUCUCCUCGAAAUAGCUUUAGGGCUAGCCUCGGUGCAAUCUGCUGGAGGUAGGGCACUGAAUUCCCGCGGGGGCGUCAAAGCCUACCAAAGGAUAUCAAACUGCGAAUGCCAGACAGAUGGUCACCGGGAGUCAGACCACACGAGAUAAGUUGGGUGGUCAAAAGGGAAAGAGCCCAGACCUGCAGCUAAGGUCCCCAAGUGCGUGUUAAGUGGAAAAGGAUGUGGGAUCUCGAAGACAACUAGGAUGUUGGCUCAGAAGCAGCCAUACAUUCAAAGAGUGCGUAAUAGCUCACUAGUCGAGAGGUCCUGCGCCGAAAAUGAACCGGGGCUAAACACGACACCGAAGCUCAGGAAUCCGAAAGGAUUGGUAGAGGAGCAUUGCUGAAGCGACGAAGCAGUACCGAAAGGAGCUGUGGAGUUUCAGGAAGAGAGAAUGCCGGAAUGAGUAGCGAGAGAAAGGUGAGAAUCCUUUCGGCCGAAUAUCCAAGGUUUCCAGGGUAAAGCUGAUCUGCCCUGGGUAAGUCGGGGCCUAAGGCGAGGCAGAAAUGCGUAGUCGAUGGACAGCAGGUUGAGAUUCCUGCACCCGUAAUGAACAGAACUGUAGUGACACGGAAGGUAAGACAGAGCCGGGAAUGAGAAAACCGGUGCAAGCACAAUAGAUGUGUGGGAGGAAAAACCCCCGCAUAAGUCGAAGGUGUGACGCGGACCGAAAAAGAGUAGGGAAGCUGUUAAGCAAGCCGUCAAGAAAAGCUGCUAUUGUUUCAUUAUGGCCCGUACCGUAAACCGACACAGGUGGAUGGGGAGAGAAUCCUAAGGCCGGCGGAAGAAGUAUUGUUAAGGAACUCGGCAAAAUGACCCCGUAACUUCGGGAGAAGGGGUGCCUGCGAGAGCAGGCCGCAGAGAAGAGGCCCAAGCAACUGUUUAGCAAAAACACAGGUCUAUGCAAAACCGAAAGGUGAGGUAUAUGGGCUGACGCCUGCCCGGUGCUGGAAGGUUAAGGGGAGAGGUUAGCGCAAGCGAAGCUUUGAACUUAAGCCCCAGUAAACGGCGGCCGUAACUAUAACGGUCCUAAGGUAGCGAAAUUCCUUGUCGGGUAAGUUCCGACCCGCACGAAAGGCGUAAUGAUUUGGGCGCUGUCUCGACAAUACAUCCGGUGAAAUUGAAGUGCCAGUGAAGAUGCUGGCUACCUGCGCCAGGACGGAAAGACCCCAUGGAGCUUUACUCCAGCUUGAUACUGGGACCCGGUAUUGCAUGUACAGGAUAGGUGGGAGGCUAGGAAAUGUGGACGCCAGUCUGCAUGGAGCCGCCGUUGGGAUACCACCCUUGUGGUGCUGGGUUUCUAACCAGAGGCCGUGAACCGGUCUGGGGACAAUGUCAGGUGGGGAGUUUGACUGGGGCGGUCGCCUCCGAAAGGGUAUCGGAGGCGCCCAAAGGUUCCCUCAGAAUGGUUGGAAACCAUUCGAAGAGUGCAAAGGCAGAAGGGAGCUUGACUGCGACACCGACGGGUGGAGCAGGUACGAAAGUAGGGCUUAGUGAUCCGGUGGUAUUAAGUGGGAAUGCCAUCGCUCAACGGAUAAAAGCUACCCUGGGGAUAACAGGCUUAUC